UGAGGAAUAUUGGUCAAUGGGCGAGAGCCUGAACCAGCCAAGUAGCGUGCAGGACGACGGCCCUAUGGGUUGUAAACUGCUUUUAUGUGGGGAUAAAGUGCGUGACGUGUCAUGCAUUGCAGGUACCACAUGAAUAAGGACCGGCUAAUUCCGUGCCAGCAGCCGCGGUAAUACGGAAGGUCCGUGCGUUAUCCGGAUUUAUUUGGUUUAAAGGGAGCGUAGGCUGUCUAUUAAGCGUGUUGUGAAAUAUACCGGCUCAACCGGUGGCUUGCAGCGCGAACUGGUCGACUUGAGUAUGCAGGAAGUAGGCGGAAUUCAUGGUGUAGCGGUGAAAUGCUUAGAUAUCAUGACGAACUCCGAUUGCGCAGGCAGCUUACUGUAGCAUAACUGACGCUGAUGCUCGAAAGUGCGGGUAUCAAACAGG
rnacentral:rRNA from 1 species